rnacentral:rRNA from 1 species
UACGUAGGGUGCAAGCGUUAAUCGGAAUUACUGGGCGUAAAGCGUGCGCAGGCGGUUCUGUAAGUCUGUCGUGAAAUCCCGGCUCAACCUGGGAAUGGCGAUGGAGACUGCAAGGCUAGAAUCUGGCAGAGGGGGUAGAAUUCCACGUGUAGCGUGAAAUGCGUAGAGAUGUGGAGGAACACCGAUGGCGAAGGCAGCCCCCUGGGUCAAGAUUGACGCUCAUGCACGAA